AUACCGUGGUAUAAAUUGACCAGCUCGACUCUUACUUUUCAUACGACAAGACGUGUGCAUACGCAAUUUAUUUCUUUGGAAUAUUUUGAUAUAAAUCAUUGAAAAUGCCUUGCGGAGGUUGCGGCGAUAACUGCAAAUGCACCAGCAGCCAAUGCUGCCAGACUUGCAAGUGCGAUGCCUCUUGCUCCUGCAAUUGCAAGAGGACCACCGGACCCGAUACUGGCUCGACUACUACCAAGAAGUAGUUUGUCAUUAAA